rnacentral:rRNA from 1 species
AAUGGGCGCAAGCCUGAUCCAGCCAUGCCGCGUGAGUGAUGAAGGCCCUAGGGUCGUAAAGCUCUUUCGCCUGUGAAGAUAAUGACGGUAGCAGGUAAAGAAACCCCGGCUAACUCCGUGCCAGCAGCCGCGGUAAUACGGAGGGGGUUAGCGUUGUUCGGAAUUACUGGGCGUAAAGCGCGCGUAGGCGGAUUAGUCAGUCAGAGGUGAAAUCCCAGGGCUCAACCCUGGAACUGCUUUGAUACUGCUAGUCUUGAGUUCGAGAGAGGUAAGUGGAAUUCCGAGUGUAGAGGUGAAAUUCGUAGAUAUUCGGAGGAACACCAGUGGCGAAGGCGGCUUACUGGCUCGAUACUGACGCUGAGGUGCGAAAGUGUGGGGAGCGAAUAGGAUU